rnacentral:tRNA from 1 species
AGUGGUUUAAAGCUUGGUUGCUAACCAAAAGGUCAGUAGUUGGAAUCUACUAACCACUC